rnacentral:rRNA from 1 species
AGUGAACGCUGGCGGCAGGCCUAAUACAUGCAAGUCGAACGGCAGCACAGCAGAGCUUGCUCUGUGGGUGGCGAGUGGCGGACGGGUGAGGAAUACGUGGGAAUCUGCCCAGUCGUGGGGGAUAACGUAGGGAAACUUACGCUAAUACCGCAUGCGCCCUUCGGGGGAAAGCCGGGGACCUUCGGGCCUGGCGCGAUUGGAUGAGCCCACGUCGGAUUAGCUAGUUGGCGGGGUAAAGGCCCACCAAGGCGACGAUCCGUAGCUGGUCUGAGAGGAUGAUCCGCCACACUGGAACUGAGACACGGUCCAGACUCCUACGGGAGGCAGCAGUGGGGAAUUUUGGACAAUGGGCGCAAGCCUGAUCCAGCCAUGCCGCGUGAGUGAAGAAGGCCUCGGUU